GAUGAACGCUGGCGGCGUGCCUAAUACAUGCAAGUCGAGCGAACGGAUGAGAAGCUUGCUUCUCUGAUGUUAGCGGCGGACGGGUGAGUAACACGUGGAUAACCUACCUAUAAGACUGGGAUAACUUCGGGAAACCGGAGCUAAUACCGGAUAAUAUUUUGAACCGCAUGGUUCAAAAGUGAAAGACGGUCUUGCUGUCACUUAUAGAUGGAUCCGCGCUGCAUUAGCUAGUUGGUAAGGUAACGGCUUACCAAGGCAACGAUGCAUAGCCGACCUGAGAGGGUGAUCGGCCACACUGGAACUGAGACACGGUCCAGACUCCUACGGGAGGCAGCAGUAGGGAAUCUUCCGCAAAGGGCGAAAGCCUGAAGGAGCAACGCCGCGUGAGUGAUGAAGGUCUUCGGAUCGUAAAACUCUGUUAUUAGGGAAGAACAUAUGUGUAAGUAACUGUGCACAUCUUGACGGUACCUAAUCAGAAAGCCACGGCUAACUACGUG
rnacentral:rRNA from 1 species